GACGAACGCUGGCGGCGUGCUUAACACAUGCAAGUCGAACGGAGCGAAUGAAAGCUUGCUUUUAUGAGCUUAGUGGCAAACGGGUGAGUAACACGUAGACAACCUGCCGACAGGAUAGGGACAACAUUCCGAAAGGAAUGCUAAUACCGAAUGAAGCGGAGGAGAGGCAUCUCUCUUCCGUGAAAGAUGGCCUCUUUUUAUGCUAUCACCUGUUGAUGGGUCUGCGUCUGAUUAGCUGGUUGGUGAGGUAACGGCUCACCAAGGCGACGAUCAGUAGCCGGUCUGAGAGGAUGAACGGCCACAUUGGGACUGAGACACGGCCCAGACUCCUACGGGAGGCAGCAGUGGGGAAUCUUCCGCAAUGGGCGCAAGCCUGACGGAGCAACGCCGCGUGAGUGAAGAAGGUCUUCGGAUCGUAAAGCUCUGUUGACGGGGACGAACGUGCGGAGUGCGAAUAGCG
rnacentral:rRNA from 1 species